AUGCAUCUCAUAUAUUUCACCUUGCUCCUCUUCCUGUGCACCCAAACAAAUUAUGCCGCGACGGACACCAUCUUUGCCGGCCAAGCACUUUCUGUCAACGACAAGCUCGUCUCCAACAAUGGCAGGUACGCGCUUGGCUUCUUCAACACAAGCAGCAGCAAACCAUCACGAGACACCACCAACUGGUACCUUGGCAUAUGGUUCAAUACAGUCCCCAAAUUUACUUCUGCAUGGGUCCCAAAUAGGGAUAGGCCAAUCAAGAACACCACCUCACUGGAGCUCACAAUCUCCCACGAUGGCAACCUUGUCAUCUUAAACCAGUCCACGAAGUCCAUAAUCUGGAGUACACAAGCAAACAUCACAAGAAAUAGCACCACUGCUAUGCUCUUGAGUAGAGGAAAUCUCAUCCUAACAGAUUCUUCAAACUCAUCAGAGAUUUUGUGGGAGAGCUUUGAUCACCCUACAGACACACUUUUCCCUGGGGCGAAGCUUGGAUGGGACAAGCUCACUGGCCUAAACCGUCGUCUAGUUUCUUGGAAGAACUUGAACGACCCAGCUACCGGUGUGUACUGUGAUAGGUUAGACCCAAGUGGCGCCAAUCAGUUCUUGCUUACACCAAUGAACUCCUCCAUACCAUAUUGGUCGACUGGUGUAUGGAAUGGCAAAUACUUUGCCUCAAUACCAGAGAUGUCAGGCAACAACCCACCUUUUACUUCAAAUUUUGUUCACAAUGACCAAGAGAAGUACAUGACACUUACUGUAGUCGAUGAAUCAAUGGUUACUCGUAAUGUACUGGAUGUCUCAGGUCGAUCAAAACAGUUCGUUUGGUCGGAGGGUUCACAGGAUUGGACAAUGGUCUAUGCCCAACCGAAACUUCAGUGUGAUGUCUAUGCAAUCUGUGGACCAUUCACAAUUUGCUAUGAUAAUGCAGUUCCAUAUUGCAGUUGCAUGGAGGGCUUCACCAUAACAUCCCCCAAGUAUUGGCAGCUAGAAGAUACAACCGGUGGCUGCUCGAGAAAUACUCAGUUAGACUGCAUUAGCAAUAAAAGCACAACUCAUACCACAGACAAGUUCUACUCUGUGCCAUGUGUUAAGUUGCCUCAGAAUGCCCCAAAAGUAGAAGCUGUUACAAGCGUGAGUGAGUGCGCACAAGUUUGCCUGAGUAACUGCUCUUGCACCGCAUAUUCCUUCAAUAAUGAAAGAUGUUCUAUCUGGCAUAAUGAACUCCUCAACAUAAGAGCACUACAAUGUAGUGGCACUGCCAGUUCAACUGGAGAAACUCUUUACCUUCGUGUUUCUGCUAAAGAUUUCCACAUAUCGAAAAACAACAGAAAGGGAAUUGUUAUUGGAGUUGCAACGGGUGCAGGCGUUUCUGCUCUGGGUUUAUUUGCACUUCUCCUGGUAAGGAUUUGGAGAAACAUAAGGAAGGGCUCUAGCCGUAUACUGGAUGGUGUUCAAGGCUGUAACAGAAUCAUUGCAUUUAAAUACACUGAUUUACAGCAUGCCACAAGAAAAUUCACAGAUAAGUUAGGGGCAGGCAGUUUUGGUUCUGUAUUCAAGGGGUUUUUAAAUGACUCAACUGCCAUAGCCGUGAAAAGGCUUGACGGUGCUUAUCAAGGAGAGAAGCAAUUUAGAGCUGAAGUGAGCUCGAUUGGAGCUGUCCAGCACAUCAAUUUAGUUAAGCUUGUUGGUUUUUGUUGUGAGGGUUCUAAGAGGUUGCUUAUUUACGAGCACAUGCCAAAUCGCUCACUUGAUGUGCAUCUAUUUAGAAACAACUCUACAAUGUUGAAUUGGAAUGUUAGGUACCAGAUAGCCCUAGGAGUUGCGAGAGGGUUAGCUUACUUGCAUGAGAGCUGUCGAGACUGCAUCAUACACUGUGAUAUCAAGCCAGAAAACAUACUUCUUGAUGCUUCAUUCGUUCCAAAAGUUGCAGACUUUGGGAUGGCAAAGCUCUUAGGAAGGGAGUUUACCCGAGUCUUGACUACAAUGAGAGGAACUGCAGGGUACUUUGCACCUGAAUGGAUUUUUGGGGUUGCUAUUACACCAAAAAUCGAUGUUUAUAGCUACGGUAUGGUGCUGCUGGAAAUUAUAUCUGGAAAGAGAAACUCAUGCGCACCAUGUACUAGCGGUGGCAACCUUGAUGUUUAUUUCCCUGUGUAUGCUGCACAUAAGCUUCUUGAAGGAGAAGUCAGGAGUUUGGUAGAUGAAAUGUUACAUGAUGUUGUCAAUCUGGACCAGGUUGAACUGGCUUGCAAGGUUGCAUGUUGGUGUAUCCAAGAUGAUGAGUUUGAUCGACCAACGACCAACGAUGGGAGAGGUAGUUCGGAUUCUGGAAGGGCAAAUUGA
rnacentral:rRNA from 1 species